rnacentral:misc_RNA from 1 species
UUUCACCUCAUACAUAUUUUUUUUAAAUAAUGUAAUUUAUUUCCAUGACAUGUAUUUAUGAAACUUGGAUUUUUAUUUGUUAUAUGCAUGUUUGUAUUAAUGGAAUUUUGUCUAUAAUGUAAAUAAACUUUUUUAAAUCUUUCUUCUGUACAUGCAAGUGGAUUACAAUAUAGAAUUUAUGUAAUUAAUAGAUACAGUGCAAUAAGAACCUUGCACUCGCAUUAUAGCAAUGUAUGUUAUGCUGCAUGAUAAGUUUUGAAUUAUGUGUGUUGUUCUGGUUGAAGGACACAAUGAAUACACCGUGUUAAGAACACAUUAUUAUACUAUAUAUAUGUGUGUGUUAUCAGAUGCCAGCACAGGCGCAUGAUGUCAUAUAUUAUUUUCAUAAUAAAAAUAUAUAUUCACCCCCUACUUAAUCAGGUAGGGGUUAUAUUUUUGUAUUAUGAGGAAAAUAUAUAACGCCAGAUGCUUGUGUAUUCCAGGUAUAUACAUGUAUUUGUAAAUUGAAUAGAAUUUGAAUCUAAUGGCAAACUUUUAUGAUCUUACCCAACAUAAAUUUUACUUUAAGAAAUCCAUAACUUAUGUUUUCUCAAAUAAAAUAAUGUUGUUCAU